UACGUAGGGGGCCAGCGUUGCUCGGAAUUACUGGGCGUAAAGGGUCCGUAGGCGGUGUGGCAAGUCGGGAGUGAAAUCUCUGGGCUUAACUCAGAGGCUGCUUCCGAAACUGCCGUGCUAGAGUGUGAGAGAGGCGAGUGGAAUUGCGGGUGUAGCGGUGAAAUGCGUAGAUAUCCGCAGGAACAUCCGAGGCGAAAGCGGCUCGCUGGAUCACAACUGACGCUGAGGAGCGAAAGCGUGGGGAGCGAACAGG
rnacentral:rRNA from 1 species